AGCAUGUGGUUUAAUUCGAAGCAACGCGAAGAACCUUACCAGGUCUUGACAUCCCGAUGCUAUUCUAGAGAUAGAAGUUACUUCGGUACAUCGGUGACAGGUGGUGCAUGGUUGUCGUCAGCUCGUGUCGUGAGAUGUUGGGUUAAGUCCCGCAACGAGCGCAACCCCUAUUGUUAGUUGCCAUCAUUCAGUUGGGCACUCUAGCGAGACUGCCGGUAAUAAACCGGAGGAAGUGGGGAUGACGUCAAAUCAUCAUGCCCCUUAUGACCUGGGCUACACACGUGCUACAAUGGUUGGUACAACGAGUUGCGAGUCGGUGACGGCGAGCUAAUCUCUUAAAGCCAAUCUCAGUUCGGAUUGUAGGCUGCAACUCGCCUACAUGAAGUCGGAAUCGCUAGUAAUCGCGGAUCAGCACGCCGCGGUGAAUACGUUCCCGGGCCUU
rnacentral:rRNA from 1 species